CAGUCGCCGCGGGAAUACGUAGGGUGCGAGCGUUAAUCGGAAUUACUGGGCGUAAAGCGUGCGCAGGCGGUUGUGUAAGACAGGUGUGAAAUCCCCGGGCUUAACCUGGGAACUGCGCUUGUGACUGCACAGCUAGAGUAUGGCAGAGGGGGGUGGAAUUCCACGUGUAGCAGUGAAAUGCGUAGAGAUGUGGAGGAACACCGAUGGCGAAGGCAGCCCCCUGGGCCAAUACUGACGCUCAUGCACGAAAGCGUGGGGAGCAAACAGGAUUAGAGACCCGCGUAGUCCCUGUCUCUUAUAC
rnacentral:rRNA from 1 species